rnacentral:rRNA from 1 species
GAACGCUGGCGGCGUGCCUAAUACAUGCAAGUCGAGCGAGCUUGCCUAGAUGAUUUUAGUGCUUGCACUAAAUGAAACUAGAUACAAGCGAGCGGCGGACGGGUGAGUAACACGUGGGUAACCUGCCCAAGAGACUGGGAUAACACCUGGAAACAGAUGCUAAUACCGGAUAACAACACUAGACGCAUGUCUAGAGUUUGAAAGAUGGUUCUGCUAUCACUCUUGGAUGGACCUGCGGUGCAUUAGCUAGUUGGUAAGGUAAUGGCUUACCAAGGCGAUGAUGCAUAGCCGAGUUGAGAGACUGAUCGGCCACAUUGGGACUGAGACACGGCCCAAACUCCUACGGGAGGCAGCAGUAGGGAAUCUUCCACAAUGGACGAAAGUCUGAUGGAGCAACGCCGCGUGAGUGAAGAAGGGUUUCGGCUCGUAAAGCUCUGUUGGUAGUGAAGAAGGAUAGAGGCAGUAACUGGCCUUUAUUUGACGGUAAUUACUUAGAAAGUCACGGCUAACUACGUGCCAGCAGCCGCGGUAAUACGUAGGUGGCAAGCGUUGUCCGGAUUUAUUGGGCGUAAAGCGAGUGCAGGCGGUUCAAUAAGUCUGAUGUGAAAGCCUUCGGCUCAACCGGAGAAUUGCAUCAGAAACUGUUGAACUUGAGUGCAGAAGAGGAGAGUGGAACUCCAUGUGUAGCGGUGGAAUGCGUAGAUAUGUGGAAGAACACCAGUGGCGAAGGCGGCUCUCUGGUCUGCAACUGACG